AAACGAUGAAUGCUAAGUGUUGGAGGUUUCCCCUUCAGUGCUGCAGCUAACGCAUUAAGCAUUCCGCCUGGGGAGUACGGCCGCAAGGCUGAAACUCAAAGGAAUUGACGGGGGCCCGCACAAGCGGUGGAGCAUGUGGUUUAAUUCGAAGCUACGCGAAGAACCUUACCAGGUCUUGACAUACUAUGCAAAUCUAAGAGAUUAGACGUUCCCUUCGGGGACAUGGAUACAGGUGGUGCAUGGUUGUCGUCAGCUCGUGUCGUGAGAUGUUGGGUUAAGUCCCGCAACGAGCGCAACCCUUAUUAUCAGUUGCCAGCAUUAAGUUGGGCACUCUGGUGAGACUGCCGGUGACAAACCGGAGGAAGGUGGGGAUGACGUCAAAUCAUCAUGCCCCUUAUGACCUGGGCUACACACGUGCUACAAUGGAUGGUACAACGAGUUGCGAACUCGCGAGAGUAAGCUAAUCUCUUAAAGCCAUUCUCAGUUCGGAUUGUAGGCUGCAACUCGCCUACAUGAAGUCGGAAUCGCUAGUAAUCGCGGAUCAGCAUGCCGCGGUGAAUACGUUCCCGGGCCUUGUACACACCGCCCGUCACACCAUGAGAGUUUGUAACACCCAAAGUCGGUGGGGUAACCUUUAGGAACCAGCCGCCUAAGGUGGGACAGAUGAUUAGGGUGAAGUCGUAACAAGGUAACCA
rnacentral:rRNA from 1 species